GUGGUGUUCGCCCGUCCUGACAGACAGCUGAAGAUGACGGCGGCUCUGCUUCAACUUGAAGCUGGAGGAGCAGACGGCGGGACUGGGACCAGAGGAGGAGGCGAGCGCCACGAGCAGGUCCACGAAGGCGCCGACGAUGAGGCCGUGCGUCUUCUCGCCGUUGGCCCUCAGUCGCCGUACGGGUCAGCGGACUCGAUGGACAGCGCCGUGGCACCGUCGAACGCCGCCGCCUUCUUUUUCGUCUUCUUCAUGAUGGAGCUCGUGGACUCGGGCUCGAACAGGAUCCGCCGGGUAGUGGAGGAGCGGAGGCCGUGGAUGAUCGCCUCGUCCUCGUUGGAAAGGGACACACUGCAAGUAUUAUUGCAUUGGCAGCCUGAGGAUCACACACAUUAUUGUUCUCCAGAAACCCUCGCGAAAUUAAAGCUGGCUGGAAGCAAACGGGAUGCAAGGCUCCUCAGCAGCUCCAUGAUUGUGCACGGACAGUAGGGGUGGUUGCGGCUGUCUGAGAAAGACGGAUGCUUUGCUUGCUCAUACAGUCUAAGGACUAGGCCAGGGAGCACGCCGCAGAGAUGGUCUGAUCUGAUGAUGCCACGCGCACCAGCUUUGCACCGCGUGAUCAACAUGCUGGAUCCUGCAUAUGCUUUCACGUUCCCUGCUGAUGAUGUUGUUUGCUUUAUUACGCCG
rnacentral:misc_RNA from 1 species